rnacentral:rRNA from 1 species
GCAUUGCGCGUCUUACCAUGCAGUCGAACGAUGAUGCUCCAGCUUGCUGGGGUGGAUUAGUGGCGAACGGGUGAGUAAUACGUGAGUAACCUGCCCUUGACUCUGGGAUAAGCCUGGGAAACUGGGUCUAAUACUGGAUACUACAUAUCUUCGCAUGGGGGUGUGUGGAAAGGGUUUUACUGGUUUUGGAUGGGCUCACGGCCUAUCAGCUUGUUGGUGGGGUAAUGGCCUACCAAGGCGACGACGGGUAGCCGGCCUGAGAGGGUGACCGGCCACACUGGGACUGAGACACGGCCCAGACUCCUACGGGAGGCAGCAGUGGGGAAUAUUGCACAAUGGGCGAAAGCCUGAUGCAGCGACGCCGCGUGAGGGAUGACGGCCUUCGGGUUGUAAACCUCUUUCAGCACGGAAGAAGCGAAAGUGACGGUACGUGCAGAAGAAGCGCCGGCUAACUACGUGCCAGCAGCCGCGGUAAUACGUAGGGCGCAAGCGUUGUCCGGAAUUAUUGGGCGUAAAGAGCUCGUAGGCGGUUUGUCGCGUCUGCUGUGAAAGCCCGGGGCUUAACCCCGUGGUGUGCAGUGGGUACGGGCAGACUAGAGUGCAGUAGGGGAGACUGGAAUUCCUGGUGUAGCGGUGAAAUGCGCAGAUAUCAGGAGGAACACCGAUGGCGAAGGCAGGUCUCUGGGCUGUUACUGACGCUGAGGAGCGAAAGCAUGGGGAGCGAACAGGAUUAGAUACCCUGGUAGUCCAUGCCGUAAACGUUGGGCACUAGGUGUGGGGGACAUUCCACGUUUUCCGCG